rnacentral:tRNA from 1 species
CGGGGUGUAGCGUAGCUGGUUAGCGCGCCUGCUUUGGGAGCAGGAGGCCGCAGGUUCGAAUCCUGCCAUCCCGACAA